AAUGAACGCUGGCGGCGCGCCUAAUACAUGCAAGUCGAGCGAGAAGACGUAGCAAUACGUUUGUAAAGCGGCGAACGGGUGAGGAAUACAUGGGUAACCUACCCUCGAGUGGGGAAUAACUAGCCGAAAGGUUAGCUAAUACCGCGUACGCUCCUUGGACUUCGGUUCAGGGAGGAAAGCGAUACCGUGGGUAUCGCGCUCUUGGUUGGGCUCAUGUCCUAUCAGCUUGUUGGUGAGGAACGGCUCACCAAGGCUUCGACGGGUAGCUGGUCUGAGAGGACGAUCAGCCACACUGGCACUGCGACACGGGCCAGACUCCUACGGGAGCAGCAGUAAGGAUAUUGCGCAAUGGGCGAAAGCCUGACGCAGCGACGCCGCGUGGGGGAUGAAGGUCUUCGGAUUGUAAACCCCUUUCGGGAGGGAAGAUGGAACGAGCAAUCGUUCGGACGGUACCUCCAGAAGCAGCCACGGCUAACUUCGUGCC
rnacentral:rRNA from 1 species